AACGCACAUUGCGCCCGCCAGCACUCUGGCGGGCAUGCCUGUCCGAGCGUCAUUUUGCACCCGUCAAGCCCAGCUUGUGCUGGGGCCCUGCGGCCGCCGCAGGCCCCGAAAUGCAGUGGCGGGACCGCCGCCGCCCCGAGCGUAGUAGCACUGGCCCCGCUCCGGAGCGCGCGGCGCGCCCCCCGCCGGCCCCCGAGGCUGCAAGAGAAGAGCUGACCUCGGAUCAGGUAGGAAUACCCGCUGAACUUAA
rnacentral:misc_RNA from 1 species